GUAGAGAGUAUUAGCAUACAGAUAUAGUAGCCACUUCACAAGACUCAAUUCAUGUAACAGAGGGAAAGUAUCACACUGAAGAAGGAAGCGAUAUUCCACUACUUCACAUCUGGGAAACUCAGCGAGAGCAAGAUCAUGGGAAGUGCUUAAUAUCUUCAGAACGGUUUGAAUGCUCUACUGGCCAGAUGCCCCGAUUUAAUAGGGACAGUCCUGAUACUCGGGGCUUUGUCUUAUAUACGGGACUAUUACCCCUCACCUGUCCUGAUUUUUCACACUUGCUAUCUGGUCCCCCUUACUGGCAACAGCACCACUCAACACAGCACCUCCCAUCUUCAACAGGGAAAGAAAAUAACCCCCAAGACAAUUAGUCUUCACUGUGCCAUCAACAUGGCUCUACCUAUCCCUUCAACUUUGUAUUAGUUACAGUCAUAGCUAGGAACCCCAAUAACAGAUGUGGUCCACAGGGCACUGUACAAACAAGUAAAAAGACUGCAUCCCUGACCACAAACAUCUUGGUACACACACACACACACCCCUAAACCAUUAGCCUCUUCUCCUUCAAAUCCCUCUCAAGAUCCACUCCUGCUGCAACUCCUACAAGAACUCUGCCAGGAAAUGACGACUCUGGCUGAGGAGGGAAGAGGGAAAUGCUAUAUUUAAACAUUACGUACCAAACUAUCUGCUGGUACAAAUGGUUGAAACCUCAUUUAAAAAACAAAAACAAACCAAUGGAGCUGUGCCAGUUGAUACCAGCAGAGAAACUGGCUUUAAACGUUGCACAUAUAGUGUAUAUGUUAGUGUUUCUUUUCCCCAAAACCAGUGAGAGUGUCUGCACUGCAGCUGGCAGACACUCCCACCUCUGGGUAGACGGACUUGUCCUACUGGGGCUUGAGCCAGUGUGCUAAAAAUACCAGCAUGGAUGUUAUGACUCCACUGGAGACUCAGGCUAGCCCCCGAGCUCAGACCAAACCCUGCUAUUUUUAGUGUGCGAGAUCGAGCCCCACUACCACUCCCAGCUGCAGUGUAGACAUACCCUUUUAGACUGAAGAUCUUUGGGACAGUCACUCCAUAUAUUUCUAUGUAUAGUACCUUACACAAUGGGGGCACCAUCCACACAGAGGCCUCUGGGAACCGCUGUGGUAUAAACAAGAAAAGAGAAGAAAAAAAAAAGAUUUCUAUGAUACAAUCUUCACUGGUCUAAAGAUAGCUGAAGAAUUUUCUUCUUCCGAGAUAAUGCUCUCUGAUAAAAGUAAAGUCUGGUGAGUUUAAGCCAUAACUCUACCUUACUUUAAAUUAACACAUGCAGCCAACAAAACCUCAUUGCAUGUUAACUAAAUGAGUCACUUCCUGUCCCCAAAUGUACCUCUCCUUCCACCCCAGCACAACUGUCACAUUUCUCAUAGAUGCAGAUCCAAGCAAAACUUGUAAAAUGUUGCUGCUCCACGUUGUUAUUCUGGCUUUGGUUUUGUCUUACGGAUGUGCACAAAUACAUCUGAGACAAGCUCGGUUGUCCGUUACCAGGGCAGAAAAGAAAACUGCACGUAUAGUCUGUGAGGCUUCUGGCAUUCAGAACUUCAGGAGUGCUGUUAUACACUGGUAUCGACAGAGACCUGGUGAAGCUCCAGAGCGGAUUCUGUACAUCUCACCUGAAAAAGUUCAAAUUGACAAAGACUCCGAUAAGAAGUUUGAUGGUGAAAAUAACCCUGACCAGCCCAUCUCUACCCUAAGAGUAAAUGGAAUAAACCCUAACGACAGCGCUAUCUAUUAUUGUGCUUAUUGGGAUGGCACAGUGUUAGAAAGCCAUAGACAGCCUGUACAAAAACCUCACUCUGUAUUCUGAGCCAGACUUUCAAAAGAGUACAAAAAUUACAGCUGCCUCCUGGCUUCAGCUCAAAGGCAAGAUUAAGGAGUAGACACUUGUCAGGGCUCCUCCCCACUCUGAACUCUAGGGUACAUAUGUG